GCUUCCAUGGCGCAAUCGGCUAGCGCGUCUGACUGUUAAUCAGGAGGUUGGUAGUUCGAGCCUACCUGGGAGCG